CUCUUAAAGAGUUGAUGCGAAUGACUUCCAUGUUCCAUCAGCUCAAAUCAAGGCCACCGAAAGGUUUGAGGCAAUAUAUCCCACUCUGAAAGAACUUGCACUUUCUGGUGUCUCUGGAAGUAAAGCAAUGAAGCAAGUUUCACAGCAAAGAUUGAACUUUGCAGUCCAAGCAGCAAGUGAAAGCAUCCCAGAAUUAUCCAAAGAAGUUACUGGAAUUUUCAUCUGGUGCUUGACUAAAAACCCUGAUUGUUACAAGUAAUGG